rnacentral:lncRNA from 1 species
GUAGCUUUCUAUGAAGACACCUAAACCAAGGCUUACUGUUGCAACCCGUUGUCCCACGCUAGUGCAGUGACAUAAGCAAGACAGAAGGGGGCAACACGAGCAUGCGGGCGCGAAGCUUCACUCAAAGGGAGCUUGACGCAGUGUCUCGUUCCUCUUAUUUCAAGCGCAUGUUACCGGAGCGUGAGGAGCAAGGAAGGGUUUAUGAUGCAGUGUUCCAUCUUAGGGAGGGGUAUGAACCCAAAGUGUCACGUGAUGACAAGGCUGUGAACCUUACACUGAACAUUAAUAAGGAGGAAAGGGGUAGACGGGUGCCUGUCCUCUCAUCGUCUAUGUACGGCUGGCAUGUAGACAAGCCCCUGGAGGCUCCCUACAAGAAGAAUGCACGCGUGCAGAUGGUGAACAAGGGGUUCUUCCGAUCCCGAGGGACCUGUAUCCCACUGGAGACAGAAAUGGGAGAAUUGAAUGAAAAAUGCAAACCUUAAUAAAAGAUGCAAAAUGAAACUUUAUGCACUGUAGGAUAUAUAUGCCAAACGCAUACACACACUCGUAUACAAUUGCACCCGGAAAGACAGGAUCUGGACAGAGAUCAGCUAGAGAGCUAGCCAGUGGCGGUUCUAGACCAUUUCAACUGGGGCGGGGGGCAAGCUGGGGCCAGUUGUACUGUUAGAGGGGCCAGUUACAUUAGACGUUAUUGUUGUCAUAGCGUUUUCUUCACUGCAUUGCAGGCAUUAGCAGGCAAAAGACCAU